UACGUAGGGGGCAAGCGUUGUCCGGAAUCAUUGGGCGUAAAGAGCGCGUAGGCGGUCCGGUAAGUCAGCUGUAAAAGUCAAGGGCUCAACCCUUGAAUGCCGGUUGAUACUGUCGGGCUAGAGUCCGGAAGAGGCGAGUGGAAUUCCCGGUGUAGCGGUGAAAUGCGUAGAUAUCUGGAGGAACACCGGUGGCGAAGGCGGCAUCCUGGACCGACAUUGACGCUGAGGCGCGAAAGCCAGGGGAGCAAACGGG
rnacentral:rRNA from 1 species